rnacentral:lncRNA from 1 species
CUUGGAAUGCAGGAUACUAACCUAUUAUCUGUUGGUGAAAACCCGCAACGAAUAAUCCGAUUGUGAUAAAAUCUAACUAAUUUUGUGAUUAAAUAAAUAAAAUCUACUUACCGACAAUCGCUAAAUUCCAAAAAGAAAUUGAGGAAGUAGAAUGCCAAAAUGUUAGAUCCGGAAGCGUGCAAGCCACUGUCCUAAAGCGUAUUCCCGUCCUUCGUGCGGGAUUAACCGAAAACACCGCCCCAAGAUACGACCGGAAUUCCUCCUCCUACGGAUACGAACGCGGAAGAGGUAGACGAAGUUUCUUUCAACACCCGAUGAUAAAGAUUGUUGUUACAUUUUAUUAUUAAAU